rnacentral:misc_RNA from 1 species
AUCAAAAUUCAAACAAAUUCAAACCGAGCGGUUGCAUCGCGCGUCAUCGAACAAGUUACGGGAAACGCGUGCGGACGUGUUUUGAAAGAGGCGACGACAAAAGCUUCAUUCGCGCGAUUUUCGGAAUCUCUCUCUUCGACGCGAGUUUUCGAUGCCUUGUUGUUGUUUAUAGAAGGAAAAGAAAGCAGCAAGGAAAUGUUUUAAGCCCAGAAGCAGCAAAACAAAGUUGUGACAAAAGCAACACACCCGACAACAGCACCCAGUGUUUGUGAAGUGCAAGAAGUAGAAAUUUAUAGUUGCUGUAUUUUGUCGAAAUUAAAUUAUGUUAAGUGCUUAAAACAGCUCGAAGGUGAAGUGCAAAGCGAAAGGAAAAAAGAAACGCCGCCAGCCAGCAGGGCAUAAAGCAACAGCAUCCCAUUAUCCCAGCAUCCAGCCCCCGCAGCAAGCAGCAGCAGCACCAUCCAUCCACCAUCCUCCUCCAUCCUCGGCAAAGAGGUGCAGGCGGCGCAAAGUAUGUAAAAGUUGAAAAGUGAACGGAUUCGCGACGAGCGGCACCAAAACUAAACAAGUUGCAAUGUGAAGAGCCCUAAAAGGACAAGUGCGAAACCCAAGGAAGCCCAGAAGUUGUCAACGAGCAGGAGACAAGACGAAGAACAAGAACAAGAAGAGCAAGAAGGAGCACCGGCAGCUGCUCCAACGAUUGACAGGACAAAAACAAAGGCGAAACCCCGGGGCCCAGCAGAGCGGAGGAGCAAAAGUUUUUCCAGCUCUUGUUGCUUGUUGCUGGGGGUUUCCAUGGCCGCUGUGUUGCAGGCAACCACGGGGCAACAGCAUUAGAAGCGCAAUGUUCUGGCCAAAUACCGCAACGAAAUAGAAUCGAGAACGUGGAUAGAGGAUAGACGAUAGAGGAUAUUGGAUAGAUAUAGAGUGGAUAGGAAAGCACUCGACAGCACUGGCCAAAAAAGGAGCAAAGCCAGUGACUGCCGCAUAUGUGUUUUGUGCUGGUGGUUUUUGUGCUUUUCUCUGUGUGAUGCCACAAGGACACACUUCAAGUGACAGCAACAGCAACGUCAGCGGCAACAGACUCAAGUGCAGCAGCAGCCCCACAAGGAGGCAAGCCUAGGGAGAGCGACGAGAGCGAGAGAGAGAGAGAGAGAGAGGGACAGCUUUCCAUCUUAAACGCAGCAUGCGCAAGCACAAAGCGCCGCCCAGCGGCAGUCCAAGGACACAAUCAGAUCCAGCUGCUGCAGGACUAGUGGAAAUCCAGGCAGAGCAACAGCAGCAACAGCAGCAACAGCAGCAGCAGUGCCUGCUCCUAGGACACAAUCAAAUGGCCAGCAAUGGUGCCACUCCAACAGCAGCAGCGGCGGCAGCAGCGAGCACAGCUAGUCGCCUGGCAGCCCCCACCGCGAGCUGUCAGGACAGGCCGGAUCAGCAGCAGCAGCAGCAACAGCAGCAGCAACAGCAUCAGGCAGCUGCCAGCUGCAGCAGCAAGGAGCGACCUCAUCCCACAAUAAAGCUCAUGUCCUUGCUGCAGAUCGCCAGCUAUGUGCUGUGCCUGUGCGCCUUCAGCUUCGCCCUGUACGCCAACGUGCGACAGACGCGAAUGGAGCUGCGGCUGCAGCGCCUCCAGCAGCUGGACGCCCGCAUUGUCGAGCUGGAGCUGCGGCUCGAGCAGCAGCAGCUGCUCCACUGGCCCGCCGAACAGACCCAGAUUCUGGACAACAGAAACAACACCAACGGCACCCAGCACCUGACGCUGCAUGUGCGCCGGGAGCUGCAUCGUCUGCGUCGCGAUGUGUCGCACCUGCAGCUGACGCGACGCCAGCAGCGACGGCAGGCGGCCGAGGCGGCCGCAGCAGCAGCGGGCGAGGGUGGUCCAGCACUGACCGGAGGUCACGGCGAGUGCCAGUGUCAACCAGGUCCUCCAGGACCGCCGGGGCCACCGGGAAAGCGAGGGAAGCGCGGCAAGAAGGGCGACACCGGCGACAAGGGCGACGCGGGUCUCAAUGGCAUCAGCGGCGAGAAGGGAGCGGCUGGCAAGCCCGGCGACAAGGGCCAGAAGGGCGACACCGGCCACCCGGGCAUGGAUGUCUUCCAGACGGUGAAGGGUCUGAAGAGAUCGGUGACAACGCUGCAUGGCGGCACGUUGGGCUAUGCGGAAAUAGUUGCUGUUAAGGGCGAGCCUGGGGAGCCGGGUCCGCCGGGACCAGCGGGCGAGGCGGGACAGCCGGGGGUGCCGGGCGAGCGAGGACCACCGGGCGAAACUGGAGCGCAGGGCGUUCAGGGCGAGCCCGGACAGCCGGGCCCCGCCGGACCGCCUGGCGUGUCCGGUGCACCUGGCACGAAGGGUGACAAAGGCGAUCGCGGCGAUCGGGGACUAACCACAACCAUCAAGGGUGACGAGUUCCCUACGGGCAUCAUCGAGGGUCCGCCGGGACCGGCCGGACCACCUGGUCCACCAGGGGAGCCCGGCGAGCGCGGCGAGGCGGGACCCAUCGGACCAGCCGGACCCCCCGGCGAGAAAGGACCGCGCGGCAAGCGUGGCAAGCGGUUGUUUGGACCUGGUGGCACGAAGCUGGACGAGGACUACGACGAUCCACCAGUGACACUGUUGCGCGGUCCGCCCGGACCGCCUGGCCUCGCUGGAAAGGACGGCCGCGACGGACGCGAUGGCAGCAAGGGGGAUGCCGGCGAGCCUGGAGAGCCUGGUUCGCUGGGUCCACGUGGCCUGGAUGGCCUGCCUGGAGAGCCGGGCAUCGAGGGACCGCCAGGUCUGCCUGGCUAUCAGGGACCGCCGGGGGAGAAGGGCGACCGUGGAGACAUUGGGCCGCCUGGACUGAUGGGACCCCCGGGUCUACCUGGCCCGCCGGGCUAUCCCGGCGUCAAGGGAGACAAAGGUGAUCGCGGCGACUCGUACCGUAAGAUGCGUCGUCGCCAGGAUGACGGCAUGUCGGAUGCCCCACACAUGCCCACCAUCGAAUACUUAUAUGGUCCUCCUGGACCACCCGGCCCCAUGGGCCCGCCAGGACACACCGGCGCCCAAGGCGACCGCGGCUUGGAUGGACGCAAAGGGGAUUCGGGCGAAAAGGGCCACAAGGGCGAUCAGGGACCCAUGGGGCUGCCGGGCCCGAUGGGUAUGAGAGGCGAAUCGGGACCCUCCGGUCCGGCGGGCAAGGCUGGCAUACCGGUGUGGGACGAAUACUAAUACUAGUUAAAAGUGCAGGCAGAGUCUAUUAAACAAUAACCAACAUAAAUGGAAUGCGACAUAAGAGACAAACAAACAUUCCUACACACACACACGCACACAGCGCCAUACAAAAACACACACAAAAGAAAGUCUUAACGAAACACUCAAUACAUAUGAAGAAAUGAAACCAAAUUUUAAUCAAAGCAAAACAAAUGUUCAAAAGUUAAAAAGCCGCCGCGCAAAAUGCUUGUCGUCUAUAUAUGUAUAUGUAUAUGUAUAUCAGGCGUAUACAUACAUAUAUGUAUACCAAACGUGUAUUGUAUCAGUGUAUAUGUAUAUGUAUAUCAAGUUGUAAAAACACGCACCCAUGUACAGAGAAUUGAAUCUGAAAUAGCAGCAUGUCAGUAGCAACUAGGCAAAUACAUCCGCAUGAAAGAAAACAUUAACACUCAUAUUCAUAUGAUUUAAGAAACGCCCCAAGAGUCAAAUAAGUAUUUAUGUAUACAAGCAAAUGAAACAGAAACAGAAACAGAAUCAGAGGCAUAUUUACACAUACUCAAACCAACAUCCAUCAAUUGGAUUCAACUAACAAACUUUCAACCUGCCCCACACACACACGCACACACACACACACACACAGACAGACAGCAAACCAACUAACAAAUAUGCAAUGCAAAUAUUUUAAUUGCAUUUCAUUCGCCACUGCUCUGUGAGAAGCGAGAUUACAGCAGGAGCAGCAGGAGCGGGUAGAGCCACUAAAGCGGGAAAGCCGAGGGCCUCUCGAAAAUGCAUAAAUCAUACGCACCGUUGUACGUGAAAACAGCCAGCACACACACACAGACACACCAAAACGAUGGCGGUGCUUCAAGUGCUUCCACGGGGUGCGAAUGACUAAUUGAUAGAUUAUACUUCAGCCCGAUCUCAAUCGUUUGGCAAUCGUUGCAGUAAGUGACUUAAUUAGUUACCUAAUUAGAUUGUGUGGAGGAAGCCUCUUCUGCCACUGCAACAGCCACUGCCUCGCUGCUCCUGCUGCACAUAUAUCUGCAUUGUCUUAGGUGCCGUCCAUUGGCUUUGUCUGAAUAUUCGAAUGCGAACAGUUUUCAUUCAUACAAAGCAUAUUUGCCAAAGCUUCAAUGUGAAGUAUUCAAUAGAAGUCGAGAGCAGAAAGCAGCAAUAACCAUAUAUACAAGCAGAUAAACAUCAAUAUAUAAAAUAUAUACAUGUGUACGGAUUAAGGAUAAAUGUGCAUUCAGAAAAGGAGAAAUUGUAAGAUAUUUUGAUCCAGUUUUUGCUCUCAAUGUUUCACGUUUUGUCUACAAGCAUGGAUAUUGUUUAGUUAUUUACACAAUAUAAACUUAAAUAUAAAGAGAUCUAUAUACAUACAACCUAUUGUAAAAGAAACUCAAUGUACUCGUGUAUUUCCCCAAAACAAAAACAAAGAGCUAUCCAAUCCAAUUGUGCAUAUUUUUCAGUGUUAACUCUUGAAAUACUCUUAGAAGCGUCAGCAGCAACUAGUUAGGUUAAAGUUCAAGUUAGAGCCUGGGCUGCUCGCACAAGAAGUGCGAAAUAUCAAACAAUAAAUACAUAAUCCCACUAUGUAUCCUAUUGGUUUCAUCGAACAUCUCAAAAUAAAGUAACGCAAAACACAAUUCUAUAUGUAUGUAUAUGAAAACGCAAAAUGAUGCCAUCAAUUUACAUUUAUCUGUAUUUGUAUCUGUAUCUGUAGCAUUUUCAAUUUUCAAUGUUCAAACUAUGCAAAAUGCGAAAAGGACAAAUAAAAAUCAACCCCGAAAAUGAAGCAUAAUCAAUGCAAAUGAAACAAUACAAUGCAAAUGAUGAUAAAAUGUAUGUAUGUACAUUCUGCCGCCCCCGAAAAUACGUACACAGCGUACAGCAAUUCAAUGGAAAAUUAAUGAAUAUGCAAAUGAGAAAUGCGAAAUGCGAAUUGUUGGCAGCUUUACACACAAACAGAAAAAAAAAAACAUACAGAUUCGAACUGCAAACGGCAUCGAAAAUCACAAUGAAUAUGUCAAUUUGUUUUCAAUUAGAUGUGUCGCUCGUUUUCGUCGUAAUAAUCCCCGAGUGGAGGAGAGCAGAAAAAACACACACAUAAACCAAUUUGCAUGUCAAUUUUCAUUUAGUCCAGAGAAAAGUCAAGGAACGGACUCCACGUGUACAUACAGCUGAUGUUAACACUUAAGCCUAAGACAUAACGAAUUAUUUAACUAAUUUCCUAGCUGUUUCAGCCUCUCAAACAUCAUCUUCUUACCCUCUCUCUAACUACCAAUACUCACGCUGAAUACUCUAGUUCGAUCCUUUCUCUUCCUCAUCUAACUGUAGACUACAGACUAUAGACUAUAGAAUCCAAGCUAUCUCACUCUCUAUCGAUCCAUAGGCUAGAAUAAUGAAUUGUGUGUGUUUCGCGACUAAAUUAUAAUACUUACCCAACAAUUGUAUAAUUAAAGAGAAAUUUAAUAAGCCGCUAACAAUAAUUGUAAGUGUAAAUUUGUUAAUUACAUACUAAACGAUAAACGAUAAACGGGAAACGAGAAACGAGAAAAGUUUGCAAAAAGCAUAUACACUAUAUGAAUAUAAAUUGAUGUGUAUUUAUGUCUAUAUACUUAUGUACAUGCAUACACUAAAUAUACAUAUACUAAAUGUCGAUGUGCGAAUGCAUUAUGCCAUCACAAACACAAAAAAAAAACACAAAACAACACACACGAAAUGCAAUAUUUUGAUCCGUGCUGCAUUCCAAAUGUAUGAUUCGAUUCGAGCAAAUAAAUCCCAUAGCAUCGCUAAUUAUUUGCCAGGGAGCAUGGCAUGGACGGUGUGCAAGUAUCGGGAAUGGCGACGAUCCAAGGCGACGGGACACAGUUGUAAAAUGGCUAAAUGAAACUAACAUAAUUUUCGUUUUAAUAAUGCAUUUUUCAAUAAAGUGAUGGUUUUUUACUAAACAACAAAAGCUAAUUGCAUAACGCCUUUACAAAUUACACAACAAUCGAACUCAUUUGUCCCUCGGGACGAGGCAGCAUUACCCCCACUUCGCACUGCUUUACUAAUCUCUCUCUCUCUCACUCUCUCUCUAUCGCUGCACAGGGUCCACCGGGCUUGGAUGGCAUGAAGGGAGCCCAGGGCGAGACGGGACACAAGGGAGAGCGCGGCGAUCCGGGACUGCCGGUAAGCACGCAGCAUCGCCUGCCCUGCC